rnacentral:lncRNA from 1 species
CACAUAUUUAUUCUCUUACAAUUCUGAAGGCCAGAAGCCAGGGAUCAGUAUCCCUGACCUGAAAUCAAGGUGUUGACAGGUCCAUGUUCCUUCCAGUGACUCCAGGGGAGAAUCCAUUCCUUGCCUCUUCUGGCUUGGGGAUGUCAGUAUUCCUUGACGUAGGGCUCUAUAGCUCCAACCUUCAAGGCCAGCAUCUUCACAUUUCCCUCUGCUGUCUUCACAUUACCUUCUCUGCAUCUCUUUUACACGGGUACAUGUGAUGGCAUCUAGGACCCGCUGGAUAACUCAGGAUAAUCCCCCUUCUCUACAUCCUUAACUAUUUAAUCCCAUCUAUGAAGACACCACACCUGCCCCCCUUUUUAUUCUAUAUGGGGGUAAAUUCAGAUAUUUCAGGGGUUGGAAAGUGAGUAUAUUUUAGGGAACCUACCGCAACCUACCACAGAUAACUAUAAAGAGGAAAAGUCCAUCUUUUACCAGCAUUCUAAAGUUACAAUUUCAGAGGAAGUAAGCAAGACUCACAGAAAGCCAGUAAGCCAAGACCAGGAGAGCUGAUUUAUUUGGAGGAAGCUGAAGAGAAGUUGAGCCAAAUCAUAGUAAGAAGUACACAUCAGGGAGCUGCUAGUUUGAGAUGAUUCUAUUGCAUGGACAAUUCCAGGGAGAAGACUAGUACAAGGAAGAUGACGGAGGCUGACACUCUCGAUUCCCCACGGCUCAACUGAAUUUUAGGCAAUGGUUUUCACUUUGGAAUCAAAACAGCUCACAGUAGCUGUGAAUGGCUAAUGGAAUAAAACUGCAAACUUGUUAUGUCAUGUUCUCCUUUUUCAGUAAUUCCAGAAGCAGAAGGAGCUCGUGGCCCCUGACCCACGAGUUCAGACAGAGAUCAAUAGAUUCAUUUCCAGUUCACCAAGGUCAGCCAAAGGUCAAUGAAAGUCCCUCAAAAUAAAUGGAGACAUUUUCUGCAGGAAGAGUAUAUUUCCUAAAUUUGGGGAGGCGGAGUGGGAAAGAGCCCAGUCUACAAGAGGUCACAUAAAAAGAAGGGUGGGUUUGCACAAAGUUCAAUAAACCAAAAAGUUCAUUCCAGUCAAAAGAAAUCAUUAGAGGUCACACACGUCAAGUUAGAAUCUAACAGAAUGCUGUUUUCUCUUCAAAAUUAAGCACAACAGGAGCAUUCUCUGAAGACAGAAGAGGUCAGAGAAAAGAAGCAUUUUUCCACAAACGGAUUAAAGAUCCCUGCAAUUCAACAUAAAGAUGGGACAAGCUACUUUUAGACACGAGGAUCCAAAUAAUUGGCCCACUUUCUUCUGGCACCGGAACAAUAGUGGAGAGUCGGGCAGUCUAGGACUUUGAUCCAAAGUGAUAGGAACUCCCAACUCAAUAUGAUCCCUGAAUACGGGCUACCCCUUAGAGAGUCAUAAGGUUAACAGAGCUCCUUUGUCUUAAAUACAAAUAAACCGUCAAAGAGCAAACAGACUGGUCAUUCACUGAUCUCUGUGUAUCUUCCAUGAACUAAUCCCAUUGCCUUAUCUGUGCUCCAGUUCUCAGUCUUGGCGUAAAAACUUUUGAUCGAGUGCAUGGGAGGUGCUUAGAAGAACGUGGAAGGACAGGAGACUCCGGGCACCAAAGAAGGGGGAAUCUAAGACCAGGCAAGAGCUGUGAACUUUGGCACCCCUCAGGGAAGGGAAAGCAAACUACCAAGCAUUUCUUUCCAAUCACGUGCUUUGCAUAUUAGGAGUGUAUCUCACUGAAAAUUUUUUCAACAGUCCUGUGGGUGGGAAGACUGUCUCCCAGAACAAAAGCAAGAGCAUGCUUUGGGGGGACUCUGUUUAGGGUCAGAGGGAGGGCAAGAAGUCCACCCUGGCUUUCUUUGUCUUACUCAAUUGUCAGCAGCAUCCUAGGGGCCAUGAACACAACAGAAGAGUGAUGUUCACACAUUCCUUACUUGCAUUUCAGGUGCCUUAGUUCUGGAGAGAAGGAGAAGCUAAAAUCCUCUUCCCCACCCCUGCAUGGUCUUCCAUGUGGGAUUCAGACACAUCCUGACCCUAGCAAGAUGAUUUUACAUGUAAUUACCCCUGUUCCAAUUGCCCCCACUGGGCUUCUUGAGAGCAGGAACUGUGUCUUCUUUAGGGAUCUUAUCUGGUGCCCGGCAUAGGGCUGGCUAUAAAGAAAUGGCACAGAAACUGCACACUUUCUUCAGUGACGAGUGGGGACAUCGUUCCGGCAUUACCUGGAUCCACGGAACAGUUAUGAAGCACCUUCUGAGUCCAGGUCCCCUGCAAGGCGCUCAUGCAUACUUUUCAUUCAGUAAUUCUGAAACAGCCCCGAGAUACUAGGAUUAUUCUUAAUUCUACAGACAGAGAAACUAGGCUCAGAGAGGGAAGAGGACUUGCCUGAGGUUACAUGGCAAUGGAGGGUGUCAGGAUUGUGCUUCCCUUGUACCCCAUUACUUACUGCCCCGCCAUGGACACGGCUCUCUCUUGGGGCCAACGGGAGAAAAUAUGGCCUUUGCACAAAGGGAGCUUAGGAGAAAGGAAGACAAAGAGAAAUAUCUAGGGAUACUUUUAAAAGCAGCAUGUUUGAUGUAAAGGUAAAAGGCCAACUGACCAAGAGGCUGGGGAAGACAGGAGGAUUAGGGGUGACCCCGGAGGAGUGGGGCUAAGCGGAGACGGCAGGUUUCCUGAAGGAGGUGACAUGUGAGCUAGCAUAGCCCGCAGGUCUGCAAUGCAGAACUGGCUCGCUCUAGAGCGAGCUGUGCUCACUGGGAAGUGGGUGUAAUUAAGUCCCUUCCCCAGCAGCUGCAGAGCGUGAGGUGCAGGGGCUGCCGCUGGUGUAUUGCUAGCGCCCCCCUGUGCACAAAGGAAGAAGCGGAGCCCUGCACGGGGUACAGGGGGAAGGCACUGCAGCUGCCUGUGCCCUCCACCAGGAGCGUGCACUGCAUUGCUGACUUCCCCAAAGCAAAAUUUUGAAAAGCCUUCUUUAGUAUGAGCAACAACUAACGAAGCAGGUCUCCCGGCCCAGAACGAGACUUUCCCUUCUCAUCUCCCACUGUAGUGAAGGCCUUUGGUCCUGGACACGAUCUACAGGAUCUCAAGAGAUCCUCCAAGGGUGUGCUCUAGACAAGGACGAGCUGAGAAUCCCUCCAGAGGAACCGCGAGGGUUAGCUCCCUGGUCAGGGCCCCAGUGCCAGGCCUGUCGGGUCUAAGUCAAAGAGCCCGGGGCUAGAAAGUAUGGAAUCAAGAUAUCCGUGUUUUUGUCUAGCUUUGGGUUAUUAUGGGCAUUUUUUUCCUUUGGACUUCAGUUUCUUCAUCUGCAAAUAAGUACGGAAUCAUAUUGCAGUUGACCUGCGGGAACCCUGCAGAAUGGUGGUAUUUGCUCACCCCCUCUCGCUGACUGCUCCUCCUUCUUGCCUCUCCCUUAGAGUCCGUGGUAAGGAAUUUAGAAAUUUUGUGAGUUCGUUUAUUAAGAGUAGAAAACUGAAGGAGGCAUUUACCAAGCUUGCUCUGCCUGCAGCCUUAGAUUCCACGUAAGACUAGUCAGCUCCUGUCCAGAAGGUGAGCAGUGCUUUUGUUCCUUUGAUUUCAUUCAACUGACAUAUUUAGUGGCCAUUGUAUGCCAAGUAUAGCACUGCCUAACUCACCACUACCCUGCCCCAGCCAACCCGACCCUCUGCAGAAGACAUCUGCUGGUAUCCUAGUAAACUGCAAUACAGAAUUCUCUUUGCUGGGCUUACAUCUCUGUAAGACUGUGUAUGAGGACAAGAAUCGGAGAGAAGUAGGAAAUGGAAAAGUAAGACAAGAGUUGAUUCAAUAUGGCGUCGGAAAGGGUGGGAGUGGGUAGUUUGUGUUGUUAUAAUGUCGUCUAUGCAAACACACGGAUAGGCUGUCACAAGUCCAUAUAGACAGAAUGAGUGUAUUCGAGACAGGAAGCCAUAAGACAGGUGCAGCACUGAGUCAUUUUCAUCAUGGUUUCCAGAAAGUCUUGAUAGGGAUGUCAUUCUAAUCUCUACAUUAAAGGAGGAAGGUCAUGCACCCGGUGAAGCAAGCUAUGGAAUAAAAAAUAAAAAAGAAAGAAAGAAAGAAAGAAAGAAAGAAAGAAAGAAAGAAAAGAAAGAAAGAAAGAAGAAAGAAAGAAAGAAAGAAAGAAAGAAAGAAAGAAAGAAAGAGAAAGAAAGAAGAAGAAUAGAUUCGUUCACUCAUUCACUCAUUCAUUCAUUCACAGCGGAGGAGGAUACACAGAAAAUUAAUACACAGUCCCUGCCCCGAAGGAAAACAAAGGGAGAACAAACAAGAAAGAGUCAAGAAAUGUUCUUUAUCAGAUGAACACAAACCCAAGAGAAGCAUUUUCUUAAUUAGCAAUUAAUGAUAACUUCCCAUCUUCACGGCUCACUGUUUAUAAGCGAUCUGUCAGUUAUAAGGAGUAGUAUUAUUAUUAAUAUUAGUAUUUACUCUGUGUCUAUAGGGCUUUCUGGGAGAAGUGGGAGUGAGGAAAGAGAGUGAGGGCAUAGCAGGGAGGAUGGAUUUUAAAUGGAGGUCUGGAGUGGAAUUCUAUCAAUAGAAACACAAAGGAAACCAAACCUCCAAAAUAGAGUUUGUGAAAAUUUGAAAGAAUCCUUAACAUAAGAAUGAACCCUAAGCUCACCUGCCUAUACCAGGACCUCCCUCUGGCUUCCACGCCCAGGGCAGGCUAUGUAAGGUGGGUGUUCUGGUUCACGUUUCUCUGACCUGCUGCAGAAACUGCACCCUGGUUCUCCCUGGGUCCGUCGGUGCUGGCGCCAGGCAGGUUUCACCCAACGGGCCAGAUGCACGUGAAACCCCAUCACCUCCCUUCCACUGACAGCCCUUAUUCGCCCGUGAUACAGAAGCAAGGCCAACCAGAGGGGAAGAAGCCGGGGAUUCCAGUUACAUAGAGAGCUGGCGAUUGACGCAGUGUCCUCUCCUUGUCACCUGGUGAAACGUGGGCACAGCCCAGGGCCGGGAAAAGAUUGACCCCUACCCUGUCUCCAGUCCAGGCCCCCCUGACCCCACAGACGGGAGGAGAGUCUGCUGACUCAUUAGAAGAAGGACAAAAGGCCGGACACUGGGUGGCUAGCUCGGGGGCAGGACGGGCACUGGCUAGAUGAGCUCUCCUCUUCCCGGCCUGCUCCCUUCUUCCUUUCCUGUUGGCUGACAAGUGAUUUAGUUUAUCCAAAAAUAAAUAAAUAAAUAAAUAAAUAAAUAAAUAAAUAAAUAAAUAAGAAAGGAAAACCCCCCACUUUUACCCCAUCACCACCAUUAUCACCAAGAUGUUCAAAUCUCCAAAAGUCUAGGCUUAAGUUCAUGUGAAAAAAUAAAAUAAUCCCCUUUGCCCUCACUUCCUCACCCCACCCUAACAUUAAGCACUCUUAAAAAAAAAAAAAAAAAAAAAAUAUAUAUAUAUAUAUAUAUAUCUUAUAAAAAAUGCAAUGGAGAGCCCAUGGAUUUUUUGGUUGAUGUGGGUGGGUCUUCUAAAACAAGAUGCCAUCUAAAAACAAAAACAAAACAAAACAAAACAAAAAAAACAAGGUGCCAUCUUUUAAUAUCCUCCCCUCAAUUCAAAAGCAGUCUCUAUAACUAAAAGGAACGAGGGAAUCAAUUUGACAAAAAUCACUUUUUUUUCUUUUAAUGAAUGUAUUGAGGCUAAAAUAAAACAAAACAAUUAAAAAAAAAUAGCCUCGUAGGAGAAAGUAGAUCAGAGAAGGCCCUGCAAAUUUCUGUUCAUUUGUUAAACGAUUCUCUCUCCCCAUUAAAACAGAGCAUGGGGAAAUGGAUGAGGGACAGAUGCUGGGGCUGUUUGAAGGGUUAAACACCUUUUUCUUCAUCAACAGUAUGCUCUGGGGAUGUGAGAAGAACCCUGGUCAAUAGACAGAUAUAUUGACUUGUUAUUAUUUAAAGUUGUUUAACCAGGUAGAGAUAAACGAAAGCUUUCAGCAGCUGAACUAUCACACAAAUCACAAUUAAGGUGGCAUAUGUGUUUGGAAGACGUAAAAUCAAUUCCCGCGAAGAUAAUGUUUUAGUCUCUAUUUGAACUUGAAAACAGGAGUAAAUUUUCAGCAGCAACAGCUGGGCUUGUUCCAUCCAGGAGGCUCUCUAUUAACUGUACAAGAAGGGCCUUUAUUACCUCUUCUAAUGGUUUUCCUCUAUGGUUUUGUCUUCAUCAAAAAAGCCAAAUUGAUUGCCGUGGUGCUGUUUACUGAUGUGGCGUUGAGGACUGCGGCAGCUGGGUGCUCACCCAGCCCAGUAGUUGGACCUCCCUCUGCUCUCUGAGUGCUAUUUAAUGUUUGUGGAGAGAACAGUGGAGCCCCGAGGGCUACUCACUGGGCUAGGUGGGGAAGGAAAGGUGGUUCAGCCUCCUUCCUAGCUUCCCUCCCUAAGGUAGCCUUCCCCGGGCUUGCCUGGGUGCCAGAGCCUGUGUAUGGGAAAGCAAGGCAUUUAUUUGUCUAAAGUAAUCUCUGUGAUUUAUUCACCCUUCACAUUUUCUCCCAGUAGGAUGUGACCUCUGAGGACAGCACCUCACCACUGAGCAUUUUAAUCAUAUGAAUUCAUGCAUAUGUUUGUGUGGUCCUCCUAAUUCUCUCCUAUGCUCCCCGGAGGCAGGGACCACAUUUACUGCCACUAGAUCUUUGAUCAGAUUUAGUAUGGUGCUGGCACACUGUAGAUGCCUUAAGUGGGGACGGGGUGGAGGCGGGUGUUGAUAAUGGGAAUCCACUGGUCCAAAGGCUGAAAUCCAAUCCACUUCCUCCCUACACUGCCCCUCUCUGUUGUUAUUCAUGAUGGUCCUUGAGAAGUGAGGCCAGUUGACUGCUCUACUCAUGUUGAGUUCUCGUUAUCCUUUAGUUAAGAUGCAAACUAAAUGCCAUGUAAGCUGAAUGGAAAUGAGGGUGGAGUAGAAGUUGCCCUUUUGGGGGUCACAGGGCUUGCCUGAGACUAAGAAGAAAAAUACACUGAGAAAAUAGGAGUCUGACUUCCCCCCGAGCAGGUGGUAGUGGACAAGGACAUUGUGAUUCUAGAGUGACAACAGAAGCAGAUCAGGGGAGGAAAGAUGGCUAGUAAGGGACUUGUAGCCAGGGAACCUGGACUCCAGUUCUCAUCUGGGUGCUAACUGAUUGUAAGACCUAGGACAGACCAUUGGCCUCGGUGUUGUGGAUGCUUCAUCAGAAAAGUAUGAAUGCUGGGAGGGACCCAAGCUUCUUAACACAUGAACACUUAUAGAAAUAUAAGCUUAGUAUUACCGUUGAAGACAAAACAGGCACAAAAAAAAAAAAAAAAAGAACAAAAAUUAAAAGAGGCUAUUUCCUUUCAGACAAGAGCAACCAUCCUUUUUCCUUUCUCACUAUCUUCUAUACCUGUAAGGUCCUUUCCAACCCGUGACCACCCCCGACAUCAGAUACUCAUGAUCACAAAUAUGGACCACACAGAGCUCUCUACCUCCCUGACUUCCUACCCUACUGGUGCCGGCCUUCUUUCUUUCACUCUGUCCAGUAUAAUUCUACAAGGUCUCUGCUCUCAGGACAAUUUUGAUCAUGUUGUUUCUCAGCUCUAAAGUCAUAGACACACUCAUUCAAUAGAUACUGAGGUUUAUCAUGUACCAGAAACUAUUGCAGGUGUUUAGGAAAUAGCAAACACAUACACAACGUGCUGUCAUUCAGCUGGGUUCAUGGAGGAUGAUGGAGGAAAGAUGAUAGACAGAUGACGAGAUGAGGAAAGAGAGAGAGACGUUUUGACAUAGACAUUCCCAUUUAUAUUUAUUUAAAGUCAACGGUUCCCAUUUGCCAGAAUGAAGUCAUAUUUGACUGAAUAGAGUCUAUAUUCUAUUGUCUAUAAUGUACUUUCCCAGGUAGUGAUUUUUGUGGAUUGCUCUUGUUCUCUGCAAACUAGAAAACCAAGAAAAGCUAUUCCUUCUUACUUAUAUGAUACUGUGUUGUGUACUCGGAGCCUGGAAUUAAAUUAUUUGCUCAGUUUGUUGCACAAUUGGCAACUCCCUCCCAUAUGUUGCUUUUCUGAGGCUCUCAGACUUGUGCAUGGUUAAGGGUCAGACACAGAGAAGCCAACAACACUACCAGGUGCUUGUUCCUCAAUGGGGAAGUGGAAAGGGUCAGUGCUGAAGAGCACAGCCAUUGCUAGACCUGAUCCUUCAAGCCCGGAGAUUGUCUAGGGACUUGGUACCAUUUUUUCCCAUGAGACAGAACUUUGAUCACAGAAGCUCACAAAGAAGGCCGACUUACAAAAGACUGGACUGACCUCCUCUUGUGUUCAUAGAACCCGGUGUGUUUUUGGAAAAUGAGGUUAACCCCGACAACAGGGAGCAAUCUGGUGUUGAACUGGAAAGAAUGGGUCUGCAUGGCAUUCCUAACCCUGCCGAUUUCUAGCCUUGUGCCUCUGAGCUGCAGUGAGGAUAACACAUCAUUCCCGGGGCUGUUUGGAAUAUUAUAGGAGAUAGUACGUGUGAACGUUCUCAGCUCCUUGCGUGGUUUCAAUAAACACAUCAGCGUUACAGGCUUCGGCCCUUGCUCUGCCUCCCCCUACUCCCAUGCACACAAUGGGGCUGUUGUAAUGUUUGUGUACCAGGAAUGGUUCCGCUAAAAUAUCGUUAACCCAUGGACCGCGCUGUGUGAAAACGAAAAGCAUAUUCACAAGACAGUACUUUUCACCCUUCUGGCACCUUCCAAGUCUUGUCUUACCCCCUUCCUCAGCAGCUUCAAGUUCCUUACGGUAGGAAUUAAGAGGGAGGGGUCAAGUGGAGCGAUGCUGAAACUGCCCAUUGAACAGUUCAGUACAGGAAAGAGCAAGACUGGGACAAUAGAGAAUUCUGUGAGUAAGUCGACAAGGAAUUGACAUCAAAGGGAACACAUUCAAACAAGCAGACUGACUCAGGUACCGGAGCCACCGCCACACGAGUUGGAAAAUAACAGACGGGGAGAAAUCACAAAUGGGGGUGUCCAUGCUGCCUGCCGCAGCACUGAGACUGGGACCCUGGCUUCAUCAAGAGAAGAACCAGAGCCUUUGUAUCUGAGAACCUCCGAUGAGUCCCUUUACUGUCCUAGCUGACUCAAUCACACAGCGAAUCUUCCUCUAAUAAGCUGAUUCCCCUGAGACCUUUACCCAUAAAGAGACAGAAACUGAAGUAAUCUGGUCUUGUAACCGGAGCAACCGUCCUUGCAAAUCUACUGAGAAGGGAACAAGACCAGGGGUGUAGGAGCAGGCUCCAUGGGUAGUGCCAGCAUGCCUUCUUCCUCGGGGACAAUCAACCCAGAUAGCACCCCACCCCCUGCAGGGCCGAGGCAUCAGGGAAUUAAUAGACAUCCUAUGUGCAUUUGUAGUUGGUUUGUUUAUACUCCAGUGACUGUAUGGAGGCCCAAGAGAAAAGGAAGAAGGAACUGGAUAUUAUUUAACACUUAGGAGCUGGACACGUUUCUAGGUACUCUACAUGCUUUAUUUCAUGGGAUCUUAAUAAAAAAAAAAAUCAGAGCAUGUGAUAUUUAAGCAAAACCAUCCCUUACACUUUGCCUUCUAGACCAUCAUGUGUCAUAGUUGUGCUAAGACAGAGCCCAGGGUGAAUGAAACAAAUUCCUGUUAUCAGCUACCAGUCUGUGCCAAGCACCUACAGGCCAGGGACUUGCCGGGUACUUCCCCACUGCACCCCUCAUACAUCUCACGGCAGUGUCAUGGCAUAGUUAUUACUACUGCCACUGUGCAGAUGAGUAAACCAAGGUUGCAAGAGAUUAUGCUGUAAAGUCACAGAUACACAGCUAGUCUAUGGGAGAAUCAGGAUUUAAACUAAGUUCUUUCUCACUUGCAAAUCUGCACCAGAGCAGCAUAUGCUUAUGGGAGCAAACUGACUGGCUCCUGUUGACGUAGACUGAUAGACCCCCUGCAGAGUCCUGUUGCUGAGACAUGCAGCCACACACCCAUGGCUUUUGCUGAGAUCCAGCCUUCCCUAGUCUUGGGAGGGCCUCUCUGGGAUCAUUGGGGGAAAAAAAUUGAAAGAAAGUAGAAUUAUAUCUAUAUCUUUGAGUCAUUCAAAUGGAAUAUAUUCCUCUUAGUGGUAUAUAAGCUUAGGCACCUUUUCGAAAUGUGUUUGCAAGCAAGUGAGCAUCAGAUAAUAUGGUAAUGCCAAGAGGACUUCCUCAUUGUAACGUAACCGAUGAAUUGUAAUAAAACAUUCUCAGUGCCCAGCUAUUUUCUCAUCCUCCAGUGAAGAGUGGGUUGGCUUUUUGCAACUGACUUGAGAAGUGCCAAAUCCCAUCUGGGUGGUGGGACAGCUGUGUCAUUUCCCCCUUCCUCACUUAAAUCAUCUGUUACUUCCUGGCUGCCUAAUCAGAGAACUGCUCCUCUACCCCUCUAUCACAACAAGCAAUAAAACCGGUACCUUUGUAAGACAAAAAUCAAGAUAUAGAGGAAAUGGAGGAUGAGAAAUGAAUUGCAGAUGAUCCAAGGAGCUAGAGUUCCUAUGGAAUUAAAGAGGAAGGCACAGAAAGGAAAUCAGGCAUCCCUUGUUGAUGAUGGGUAUGAUUAGAUGACUCAGGAAAAUGCUGAUGGUGCUUAAAUCCCUCCACCUGGAGGUUCUAAGGAUGCUUGAAAACGCGUGUAUCAAAAACUGGUUGGGAUAUCUUCCUCCUCCUAAGUUUUAGAAUCAUCAAAUGGGACCAUCUUCCACCCAGUUGGCUAAGUUGGAAACCUGAAUUUCCCCCAUAUUUCACAUUCCCCAUCACCUUAUGUAUCUAGUCCUUCUCACUUACCCCCUAAAAAUCAUGCCAGCUUACCUGUUUCUCAAUACUCCUCAUGAUUUUUCAUCUGAAUUAUUUAAGUUGCCCCUACUAUGCAUCUUCCUUGCCAGAUUGACCAAUGUCCAUUAAUCCACCCUUCUGUCACAGUGAUCUUUCCAAAUUACAAUCCGAUCUAGCCACUCUUCUGAUGAAAUCCUUCUAUGUUUCCCUUUCUCUUUUAGGACAAAUCCCAACAUCUCAUUAUUUCUUGUAGAUUUUUUAAGGAUCUCACCCCUGCAUACCCAUUCCACCUGUUUCCUGCCAUUCUGCCUUUGCCCACACCCCUCUUGGGACAAUCUACUCUUGCAGUCUCUCGGCCUUGCUGUGCUUCUCAUGCCUGCAUGGGCUCAUCUGCAUGACUCACUUGUUCCCUUUCCCUCCCCUUUCUUAGCUAAUUUCUUCUGCUUCUUCAUGAUUGGCUCUGAAAGCUUUCCUUCAGCCUUACUGUCUGGUCAUGAGCCCUCUGCUGGGCACCUCUAGCACUUGAACAACACCUACCAUAGGAUAUAGUUUUAAAUCCUCCACUGGACUGAGACCUUCUUGAAGAUAGACACUGUCUCCCCUGGAUGUAUCCUCAGUACUUGUCAGAUAUUAGCUACCCAAUAUACAUUUAUAGAUUGGAAUUUAAGUUUUACUCUUUUUUUUUUUCAAAAUUCCCGUGAGAUGUACCAAAAAUCUCCCCACUUCCCAGGUUUGCAUCCUUAAAUAAUCUAGACUAAGGGAUUUAUUUCUUCUCUUUAAACUUCUGUAAAUAACAUACAAAUACAUUUAUUUUCAUUUCUUGAAAGAAGCAAACCCAGUUAAAAUUAUAUUUUGUAGAAGCACAGGAAAGUGAAGGCUUGAAGGGCGGCUGAAGGAGGGAUAGGAAGAAAACUAUGUUUAUUUUGCAACUAAUAUGUACCACAUAUUUUGUUAAAUAUCCUUACCUAUUCACAUCCAAUAAGGUCAUGGUCAGUGUUCGAGGUGGAUAUUAUGACCACUGUUUUAAUGAGCACUUUACCUUCGUAAGACUGAUGUCCAGAGUGGGUAAGAAACUGGUCCAUGGCAACAUAACUUGUAACUUGUGAUAUUAGAGUGUAAAGAUAAGUUUCCCCCAAAGUAUAUCACAAUAUGUCUUCAAAGAGAAAAUACGUGGUUUGAGCACACAAACUAAACAAAAGAAAAUAUGUCUUGUAGGAUAUAGCAAGUAAUGAAGAGGUAAAAACUGUAAACUUACUUUUGAAAUAAGAGAUGCUGUUAAGCAUUUAAAUGCAAAUGAGCCAGGUACUCCAACCUAAAUCCUCUGAGUUCUAGGCAAGUCUGGUCUAGAGAGGAAACUCAGUUUAGAAGAAACUAUUCAGCAAGUUCACACUUCUCUCCACCUCUUAUUCUUCAAGUCUCUGCUAUGUCCAUACUCCCAGUCACUGUUUUUCUUCCACUUAUCAGAAAGUCUCCUGGAGCUUUGAGACCCAAUAGAAGACAGUGUACUCACUAAUCCCAUGUGGAAAUGAAACUUUAUAUUCUAACCAGAGUUGACAUUCUAGGUGGUAUGUCUCCCCUUCUGGGACAUUUUGUAUCAACUUUAUUGCCAAUUGGGAAGUGUGGCCCUUUGGACAUUUAUAGUUGAACUCCUUUCAUGGUACUCAUUCAUUUCAUCCAACAGAUACCAUUCACACUAAAUAAAUACUUGAAGGCUGAACAUGCCCUGGUCCUGGUACCCCAUUUACUUUUGUAGUAAUAUUCUGCUCAGCAUAACCGCCGCCUAUAUUAACUGUCUACCUUUCAGCUUUUCAUCCUUAGGGGAUAAAAGUAGCUUCCUAAUCAUUUCCCAAUAUUUGCUUCCACUGCACUCAUUUUCUCAUAUCUCUAUCAUAAUACUUGCAAUAUUAUACUGUAAUUUUCUUUUUAUAUAGCUGUUUUCACAUCUCAGAUGUGAGCUCCUUUAGGGGAGUUCCUCACUAAAUGCAACGCAUGAACAAAUGAAUAAAUGGAAAAAAAUUAAGAAGGAAAAGGAUUUCCUACUGAUCAAAUGAACAUGUUCCAUGAAGGUAGCUUCAUUUGUGGUCUGAAGGUUUUGCUUUUCAAAAUAGAAAAUUAAACAUUGAUAUGUCUGCUCAUCUGGGUGUUUCCACUCUGCUCCCAAUUCUCCAUCAUUUUCCUACCAUAACACAUCCUGAUAGGAACAAGUAUGUCCAUAAUAUAUUUUCUAAAGCCCUUCUCUCUAUAUAUGUUUUUAAUAGGGUGUGUUUUGGGUGAAGAUAACAAAAAUGUAUCCAAUCAUUUAGCUGCUGUGCUUAAGAAUAACUAGAUAGAGCCUCCCUUGCAGAAAGAAGAGAUAACAGUUAAGAUUUUCAUUACCUUGAAGUGGCUUGGUAAAUAGGUAUGCCUGCCAAAGGCUAGUUGGAGGAUGCUUGGUGGAUGGAUUGACAGGUAAGGGAAAGAUGGAUGGUUUAAAUAAAUAGAUGGGAACAGUAAUAUGAGGGAGGUGGAUGAGUAUACAGAUAGAAUAAAGGUUAGAUAAAUGGGGAAAUAAUAUGUGAAUGAAGAGGUGAGUGGUUUGCUGAUGGAAGAAUAAAUUGGUAUACAGAAGACUGAUGGAGCUGAGUAGCUGGAUGGAAAAAAAAAGACCAAUGAAUGUCUAUGCCAGCAGGAGAGCCAAUAGAUGGGUAAAUGCUGUGGUAUGAACAGAAGCAGGAGACCAUCCAUCAGGUGUGGAUGGGAAGAGGAUGAUUAAAAGGAAGAAGAAAACGGGGAGAGGAAAGGGGAGCACUAAAUGUAUUAUGAUGAUAAGGGGAAUUGGAAUUUGUUCCCUUAAUAAGUCAUAAGUUUACAAUGAGUUUGAGGAAAUUGAAAACUCUCAAUCAUUGAUACCUUUUCCUUGGUAUUUUAAUUUUCAAAGAACAUGACCUAGGAUAUCAAGUUAUCUGUGCUCCAUCCCUUGUGGGAGAGACUGAGCUUUAAAAGCUUGGGAAUGAGCCCUUGUCUACCUGGGAGCCCAUUAAGAAAUAAGCCUCAGAGAUCUAGCUCAGGAUCUUGGCCAGAAGAGCUAGGCAUGCUGUAAAGUCAACUAAAGAAUUCUAAUGCACUUUGUGCUGAAUUCCAAAACCAUAAUUAACAAUUGGCCUAGGCUUUAUUUGG